UACGUAGUGAGCAAGCGUUGUUCGGAUUUACUGGGCGUCAAGGGCGCGUAGGCGGCUAAUUAAGUCAGCUGUGAAAUCUCCGAGCUUAACUCGGAACUGUCAGCUGAUACUGAUCUGCUAGAGUGCGGAAGGGGCAAUCGGAAUUCUUGGUGUAGCGGUGAAAUGCGUAGAUAUCAAGAGGAACACCUGAGGUGAAGACGGGUUGCUGGGCCGACACUGACGCUGAGUGCGCGAAAGCCAGGGGAGCAAACGGG
rnacentral:rRNA from 1 species